rnacentral:rRNA from 1 species
UUAAGCGACUAAGCGUACACGGUGGAUGCCCUGGCAGUCAGAGGCGAUGAAGGACGUGCUAAUCUGCGAUAAGCGUCGGUAAGGUGAUAUGAACCGUUAUAACCGGCGAUUUCCGAAUGGGGAAACCCAGUGUGAUUCGUCACACUAUCAUUAACUGAAUCCAUAGGUUAAUGAGGCGAACCGGGGGAACUGAAACAUCUAAGUACCCCGAGGAAAAGAAAUCAACCGAGAUUCCCCCAGUAGCGGCGAGCGAACGGGGAGCAGCCCAGAGCCUGAAUCAGUGUGUGUGUUAGUGGAAGCGUCUGGAAAGGCGCGCGAUACAGGGUGACAGCCCCGUACACAAAAAUGCACAUGCUGUGAGCUCGAUGAGUAGGGCGGGACACGUGGUAUCCUGUCUGAAUAUGGGGGGACCAUCCUCCAAGGCUAAAUACUCCUGACUGACCGAUAGUGAACCAGUACCGUGAGGGAAAGGCGAAAAGAACCCCGGCGAGGGGAGUGAAAAAGAACCUGAAACCGUGUACGUACAAGCAGUGGGAGCACGCUUAGGCGUGUGACUGCGUACCUUUUGUAUAAUGGGUCAGCGACUUAUAUUCUGUAGCAAGGUUAACCGAAUAGGGGAGCCGAAGGGAAACCGAGUCUUAACUGGGCGUUAAGUUGCAGGGUAUAGACCCGAAACCCGGUGAUCUAGCCAUGGGCAGGUUGAAGGUUGGGUAACACUAACUGGAGGACCGAACCGACUAAUGUUGAAAAAUUAGCGGAUGACUUGUGGCUGGGGGUGAAAGGCCAAUCAAACCGGGAGAUAGCUGGUUCUCCCCGAAAGCUAUUUAGGUAGCGCCUCGUGAAUUCAUCUCCGGGGGUAGAGCACUGUUUCGGCAAGGGGGUCAUCCCGACUUACCAACCCGAUGCAAACUACGAAUACCGGAGAAUGUUAUCACGGGAGACACACGGCGGGUGCUAACGUCCGUCGUGAAGAGGGAAACAACCCAGACCGCCAGCUAAGGUCCCAAAGUCAUGGUUAAGUGGGAAACGAUGUGGGAAGGCCCAGACAGCCAGGAUGUUGGCUUAGAAGCAGCCAUCAUUUAAAGAAAGCGUAAUAGCUCACUGGUCGAGUCGGCCUGCGCGGAAGAUGUAACGGGGCUAAACCAUGCACCGAAGCUGCGGCAGCGACGCUGAUGCGUUGUUGGGUAGGGGAGCGUUCUGUAAGCCUGCGAAGGUGUGCUGUGAGGCAUGCUGGAUGUAUCAGAAGUGCGAAUGCUGACAUAAGUAACGAUAAAGCGGGUGAAAAGCCCGCUCGCCGGAAGACCAAGGGUUCCUGUCCAACGUUAAUCGGGGCAGGGUGAGUCGACCCCUAAGGCGAGGCCGAAAGGCGUAGUCGAUGGGAAACAGGUUAAUAUUCCUGUACUUGGUGUUACUGCGAAGGGGGGACGGAGAAGGCUAUGUUGGCCGUGCGACGGUUGUCCCGGUUUAAGCGUGUAGGCUGGUUUUCCAGG